rnacentral:lncRNA from 1 species
GGUCAUGUACAAAAAUAGAGUUUAAAAUGUUACAAUUGUAAAAUUGAUGGCGGGGUCAUGUACAAAAAUAGAAAGUAAGAAGAUUGUGGUAAACUUUUUGGGGACACCCCAAAAGAGAAAUUGGGGCAAAAUUUUUGGAGGCGGAGGGAGUAUUUUUUUUUUUAAUUUAUUUUUUAAUGGAUUGAAACAAUUAUUAUUUCUUCAAUUCUCAAUCUCUACUAAGACUAUUAUCCAAAUCUUGCUAAUAUUUGAAUUUUAUUAGUUUUUUAUUCUCGUUUUUAAAUUUUUUGCAAUUAUUUAAUUUAUAUUUUAUAUAAUUAAAAUUAUUAUGAUCAAAGGUAAUAAUUAGCUAAUUAUAUAUGUUAUGAUUGAAGUGGUCAUUGAUCAACCACCAAC